rnacentral:rRNA from 1 species
CCUACGGGGGGCUGCAGUGGGGAAUAUUGGACAAUGGGGGCAACCCUGAUCCAGCCAUGCCGCGUGUGUGAAGAAGGCCCUCGGGUUGUAAAGCACUUUCAGUGAGGAAGAACGCCUGGUGGUUAAUACCCAUCAGGAAAGACAUCACUCACAGAAGAAGCACCGGCUAACUCCGUGCCAGCAGCCGCGGUAAUACGGAGGGUGCGAGCGUUAAUCGGAAUUACUGGGCGUAAAGCGCGCGUAGGUGGCUUGAUAAGCCGGUUGUGAAAGCCCCGGGCUCAACCUGGGAACGGCAUCCGGAACUGUCAAGCUAGAGUGCAGGAGAGGAAGGUAGAAUUCCCGGUGUAGCGGUGAAAUGCGUAGAGAUCGGGAGGAAUACCAGUGGCGAAGGCGGCCUUCUGGACUGACACUGACACUGAGGUGGGAAAGCGUGGGUAGCAAACAGGAUUAGAUACCCUUGUAGUC